ACAACUUUCAACAACGGAUCUCUUGGCUCUCGCAUCGAUGAAGAACGCAGCG
rnacentral:rRNA from 1 species